AAAAAGUUCACUUGGUUAAUAGGCUUGAGGGAAAGGGAGAAGUGCUGGGAGAACUUAAUGAUGACUUAAUGUGAGAAGGCUAUUGAAUUUCUGGGACAUUGUUCACAGAAUUAUCUACACUGUUUGAAGGGGUCACUGCAAACUGGUUCCACCUGGCUGCAAACAGCUGUGCUGGUGAAAAAUCUUGUACUAUUGAACAAAUACAUCCUCCCCAGUAAGGGUGACAACCCUUUGGACUCCGGUGGAAGAUAUCCAGAAAACAGGAAACAACAAGGAAUUAAUUCUCCAGUUUUGUUCCUGUGAAUCUCCUACAUUUAUCAGUAAAUUACUGAGACUGGCAGCCUAAUUCUUCUGGUACUUUUUAAAGAAAAUAUCUUUCCAAACAAGAAAAAAAAAAAAAGGAUCACUGAGGAACCUUCAGGUAGCU
rnacentral:lncRNA from 1 species